rnacentral:rRNA from 1 species
CUACGGGGGGCUGCAGUGGGGAAUAUUGGACAAUGGGGGAAACCCUGAUCCAGCAAUGCCGCGUGUGUGAAGAAGGCCUGCGGGUUGUAAAGCACUUUCGGUUGGGAGGACUGCUUCUAGCACUAAUAUUGUUGGAAGUUGACGUUACCUUCAGAAGAAGCACCGGCUAACUCCGUGCCAGCAGCCGCGGUAGUACGGAGGGUGCAAGCGUUAAUCGGAAUUACUGGGCGUAAAGCGCGCGUAGGCGGCUAGAUCAGUCGGGUGUGAAAGCCCCGGGCUUAACCUGGGAACUGCAUCCGAUACUGGCUAGCUUGAGUACAGGAGAGGAGAGUGGAAUUCCACAUGUAGCGGCGAAAUGCGUAGAUAUGUGGAGGAACACCAAUGGCGAAGGCAGCUCUCUGGCCUGAUACUGACGCUGAGGUGCGAAAGCGUGGGGAGCAAACAGGAUUAGAUACCCGGGUAGUC